rfam:Ananas comosus cultivar MD2 ACMD2_Scaffold_7187, whole genome shotgun sequence.
GUUCCCAGUGAUGUUCAAUUUGACCAUGCUAAUACUGAUAUCCUUUGAUGAUAUGCUAUUAAUUGUUCUGAGGGAAUC